GACGAAACGCUGGCGGCGUGGAUUAGGCAUGCAAGUCGAACGGUAUCAUCCUUUCGGGGGUGAGAGAGUGGCGAACUGGUGAGUAACACGUAGGUUAUCUACCCUCAAGACGGGGACAACCCAGGGAAACUUGGGCUAAUACCGGAUGUGAGCAACUUUUUAGUUGUUUGAAAGGUGGCGUAAGCUGUCGCUUGGGGAUGAGCCUGCGUCCUAUUAGUUAGUUGGUGAGGUAACGGCUCACCUAGGCAAUGAUAGGUAGGCGGCCUUAACGGGUGGUCGCCCACACUGGGAUUGAGAUACGGCCCAGACUCCUACGGGAGGCAGCAGUCGAGAAUAGUCUACAAUGGUCGGAAGACUGAUAGUGCGACGCCGCGUGAACGAUGAAUCCCUUCGGGGUGUAAAGUUCUUUUAUAUGUGAGCAGUGCUUCUUAUAUUAACAGUAUGGGGAGAGAGAUAUUAGCAUAUGAAUAAGCAACGGCUAACUCCGUGCCAGCAGCCGCGGUAAU
rnacentral:rRNA from 1 species